GACGAACCGUGCGAACGUUGUUCGGAAUAACUGGGCUUAAAGGGAGCGUAGGCGGGCUAACAAGUCUGGGGUGAAAUCCCUCGGCUCAACUGAGGAACUGCCUUUGAAACUGUACGGCUUGAGGCCGGGAGGGGGUAGCGGAAUUCCCAGUGUAGCGGUGAAAUGCGUAGAUACUGGGAGGAACACCAGUGGCGAAGGCGGCUACCUGGACCGGUUCUGACGCUGAGGCGCGAAAGCGUGGGUAGCAAACAGG
rnacentral:rRNA from 1 species